AAAUGAGACUUGAUGUGAUCUCCGAUUUAGAAGGGGUAGAUAAAACACAGCAGAACAACAGGAAGUUCAGUCCUUUAGAUAAACACCCCCGUGAUUCUUCUUCCUCUGGGCUGGAUUAUGACAGUGACAGUAACAGAGUUUUCAAACCGUUGUCUAAACCUCAGCCACAAAGACGGCACCACUUAUCUUCUAGCCCAACACUUUCAAUAAAGGUUUGUGCUGUUAAGGAUUCGACUCCCGCUUGUCCUACUGAAGCUGUGAGUCCAGACACUCUGAGGGAAAUUGUUAGUGACACCAAGAUCAUCUCAGUAAUUGCAGCGAAACGUCGCUCACACUUAGCAAAGGAGACCAAUUCCAGAGUGGCCAGUUUGGCUUUGGCCACAGGGCUCAAGUCCUCAGUAAGCAUGGACAGUGUAGUUUCUGCUUUGGCAGAUGAGUCGGCUGAGGUCAAAAGAAAUCCCCCAAGACAUGGAGGCAGGUCCCAGUCGAAGCAGGACCUAAAGACAACGGAAGGCAGAAGGGAGCUGCCUGAGAGACACCAGCGCAAGAAACGGUCCAGAUCUUUUGAAGCAAGCAAAAGGCACGUACAAAAACCAAGACAAAACCCUUCCAGAUAUCCAGCUUUGAAGAGCAUCUCAGACAACCGGCUUGUGAGACCAGCAUUAAACGUGAUCCAGCUACUCAAGAGUGGUGCUGGAAACCCUGCAACACCCCCAGUAGCUAAAGUGAAAAGCCCUGUCUCUCACUUUAUAGGUGAAGUGCAGCUUGAGAAGUUAGAGAUCAGGGGAACACCACCCAGCACCAUCCAUCAAAAACACUCAGAUGUCAAACGAGGCCAGACAACCUACAAACGACAGCAAGGCCUAGGAGAUGUUUCUUACUCCAGCAAUCUCCUACAGCAACCAGGCAAUUACAAGAAGUCCACCAAUGAAAAUCCUACACAAAAAGGAAUGGCCGAU
rnacentral:lncRNA from 1 species